GGUGAUUCUCGGGUGACGCACUACAAAAUCGGGCUUCCUCCCCUCUGGUUCUGGGUGCGUCACCUAAGAACUGCA
rfam:Myotis brandtii contig303246, whole genome shotgun sequence.